rnacentral:rRNA from 1 species
GAGUAAUGCCUAGGAAUCUGCCUGGUAGUGGGGGAUAACGUUCGGAAACGGACGCUAAUACCGCAUACGUCCUACGGGAGAAAGCAGGGGACCUUCGGGCCUUGCGCUAUCAGAUGAGCCUAGGUCGGAUUAGCUAGUUGGUGGGGUAAUGGCUCACCAAGGCGACGAUCCGUAACUGGUCUGAGAGGAUGAUCAGUCACACUGGAACUGAGACACGGUCCAGACUCCUACGGGAGGCAGCAGUGGGGAAUAUUGGACAAUGGGCGAAAGCCUGAUCCAGCCAUGCCGCGUGUGUGAAGAAGGUCUUCGGAUUGUAAAGCACUUUAAGUUGGGAGGAAGGGCAGUUACCUAAUACGUAAGUGUUUUGACGUUACCGACAGAAUAAGCACCGGGCUAACUCUGUGCCAGCAGCCGCGGUAAU